CAACGAAUAUUCCGCAAUGGGCGAAAGCCUGACGGAGCGACGCCGCGUGGAGGAUGAAGUCCCUCGGGAUGUAAACUUCAAUAGUACGUCAGGAAGUGCGACGGCUUAAUAGGCCGUCAAGUUGACCAGUGUACGAAAGGGGUGGCUAACUCCGUGCCAGCAGCCGCGGUAAUACGGAGACCCCUAGCGUUGUUCGGAAUUACUGGGCUUAAAGCGGGGGUAGGCGGGACGGUAAGUACUUUGUGAAAGCCCCGGGCUCAACUCGGGAAUUGCUUGGUAUACUGUCGUCCUUGAGGCAGGCAGGGGUCACUGGAACCUUAGGUGGAGCGGUGAAAUGCGUAGAUAUCUAAGGGAACGCCUGUGGCGAAAGCGGGUGACUGGGCCUGUACUGACGCUGAGACCCGAAAGCGUAGGUAGCGAACG
rnacentral:rRNA from 1 species